UCCCUUGUAGCUCAGUUGGCAGAGCAACGGACUGUUAAUCCGUGUGUCGGUGGUUCGAGCCCACCCGGGGGAG
rnacentral:tRNA from 1 species